AGGACCCUGAGCUUCUCCCGGCCGGGAGCGUCCGGAGCCGGCCAGCCGAGCCUGACGGGUCUCCCGCCAUUUGAGACGCCGAUCGGGCACGUUGCCUGCACGUAGAGCGCUACCAGGCGCCCCAGGGUUUUGAUAACCCCGACUCUAGCCUUUCCCUGAACUAGCCUUCCUCGGCCAGAAGAUGCCCCCGGGUGAGGGAAGAACCGACUAUUUCAUCCUUUAUUAAAAAAAAAUUGUGGAGCCUUCUGGACAAGGAUGAAGAUGCCAAGUGGAGUGUUUUGAGCGCGCGUCAACCGGCCGAGGGUUGUGAUUUCCACCUUUUAAACGCGAGUCCAGACAUCGUGCUCCUCCCCUCUAAGGUCACUCGGAAGCCCUUGAGAGCCCCGGACCAGAGUCCAGUUGCCAUGACGCUGCUGCAUCAUAACUCCGGUCUGGCUGAGCUCUGACCUCUGCGACAGAGAAUGGGCAUCUCCGUCUGCUGUAGAAGCCCUCGGGAGAAUUCAGUGGAGGACAUGCCUGACACUGAAAAUCCCUCUUAAAAUGCCACUGUACCAGAUCAGAAUAGAGGAGAUCAGAAUAAAGGUAUUACUGUUUACCCUAA